GAGAAUUAGUCCACCCCCACCCCCACCGUAAUUUCGGGCUUGGGGUUUUACUCCGCGAAGAGACUCCCUUGCAAUAGCCCCGGGGAGGGGUGGGGGCCUCCUGGUUGCUCCUUGCCCCUGCCCGCCCGCCCCGCUUCCCCCCGCAGGGCCCCCGGCGCCCGCCGCGGUCACGAGAUGCCUGACCGCACUUAGGAAGCGGCCGGGUCAGCCUCCUGCCUCCGCUCGGCGGCUGCGGUUAAAGCGGCUUCGCGCCGCCCUCCCCUUCCCCGGGUCCAGGGCAGCCGGGCAGCUCCCCCUCGCUGCGCCCGGGAGGCCGCCGGCGGGCGGCCGGGAAGAGGCGGGCGGCGCGGGCGGCUGCGUGCUGCCGGCUGGCCGGGCCGCGCGCCGGGAGGAGCCGCCGCCGCCGCCGCCGGGUGCCACGUGGCGGGCGCCGGGCCGGGAGCGCCAGGGCUCUGGCGGCGGCCUCCCUGGGGGAUUUGCCGCGCGGGGCGGGCGGCGCGCGCUGUCCCGGCCGGCUGGCCGCCACCGCUGUCUCCCGCCCUGCCUGGGUCUCCGGCCCCCUCGCUCCCGCCCCCAGUGCCCCCAUCUGCCUCCAGUCUUCCUGCCGCUGGAUCUCGUCGCCGAUGAGAUUCAAUGGUUCCUGACUCUACGUGACCUUGGGCAAGCCCCUCUCUUGCUUUUAUGAUGGAACGCACGCGCAGUGCCAGGCACUGUUCAACCCUGGGAUUGCGGGUUUGGAUGAUGAUCUGUCAGAUCAGGAGGACCUAAGAAAAACAGGAGAUCACACCUCUGGACAACAGUAUUGCCGGGCUUACGGGGAUACGGUGUGGCAGGGGAAAUGCAGGAACGAGCAUGACAAUUCUUGCCCUCAGGAAGCCCACAGACUAGUGAUACAUGUACUCAUGGGUACAACUGAUACGUGGAUUUCCUAAAGGAUUCCUCUGGGAGUUCCUAGGUUCAAGAGAAACAGGUGUUUGGAUAGAGGUAGAAUGCUAUGGAGGUUCUGGAGAAUUAAAAUACUUUUAACUUGGGAUGCUAUGAAAAACUUCCUGGAGGAGGAUGCCUGUGCAUUGUACCUUGAAAAAGAGAUAGGAUUGGGGCAUAGGAAGUGUGCCAGGUCAUGAGGCUGGGAAGGAUGGGAGUACCCAUGGCAUUAAAGAUACUAGGAACUUGAGAUCUUUAUUCUGGGAACAUGGUCUGGUGCUCAGGGUUGAGGAGAAGUUUGAGGCCAUAACACAAGACCUUUAAAUAUCUUGCUUUACAGAGGACUUUGAACUAUGUCUAAUGGAGAGCCAUGAAAUGUUGAUAGCAGAGAAUGGCCAUUGGAUUUCUCUUUUUUAGAAACAUGACUGGCAAAGUAUGGAGUUGAUGCAGGAUUUGGAGACAGGCCAGUUAAGAGGGUCAAGCCAGUAAUGCUACCUAAGUAACAGGUAUAGACUGACAUCCAGAAUCUCCUGCUUAGAGCCAACUUGCCUGAGCAUUGACUGCUUGCUAUCCAGGCACCUGAGUUCAAUCCUUCAACCCAAUGUUCCCCCCACCACCUGGAGUCUGGCGAAGGCAUCCUUGUGUUUCUGACCAUCUUUACCUUCUAAGCCUCAUUCCCCACCUUCCAGGACAACUCUGGAGACUGCCGCCAAACUUUACCUCAUUGCAGGCUUGCUUUACUCACUCUUGCCCCUUGGACUACUCUCUGGGAUGUGUGUGUGUGUGUGUGUGUGUGUGUGUGAGUGAGUGAACAUGCAGCAGAGUGGGCUGUGCCCUAUCUCAUCCUGAAGAAAGGAUGAACAAAGCCUCCUUUGUUGACCCGCCACCUGGGCCAAUGGGGUAGGACUUUUCUUUCUUACUUUAAACAGAAAGGAAAAGUGGCGAUGACAGAAAAUUAUCUAUUGAUUUCAGAAAAGUGGGGGUUCCCAUAUAUUUGGAAACCUCUUGGUGAAAGGUGGUGAGUUUAUGAAGUUGUCCUCCUUUUCCCUGUGAUCCCCCAAACUUCACAAGCUUCUUAAAAUGCUUCUACUCAGCAUCUGACUUUAAAAACAAAAAACAAAAAAACACAAAUACAUUGGCCCAAAUUCCUCCAAGGAACGAAACCUUUCCCAGGGAAGCAUGUUAACCUUUUCCAGAAUUUCCCCAAUCCUUAUAGAACCUAUGCCUCUAAGCUCUUAUGACUUUGACCACUAUCUGCUGCUGGUGGUCCCUAAUGAAGUAACCAGGUUGCCACUCGUGUCCCUGCUAGGUUGAGAAUUUUUCAUCUGAUUCUGUGUCCCCUGAUGGUACAUGGAGAAUGGAAUAUAGUCAAGUUAGGGUCUCAUUGCUGUACCACAAGCUGCCUCCUAGGUCAAAUAGUUAUUCAGCAACUCAUUUAUUGCCACUUUUAGAAGUUUUUGAUAGAGCGAGAAAGGAACUACACACACACUUGGAGGGACAGAGGGCUCAAGUCACCAAAAAUUAGUCAUUAGCUAUUAGUCGUUAUGUCUGAAAAAAAAGAUAUCCAUGAAGUUCCUGGCUUUCUCCACUGUAAUUAUUGAUGAAGUGAGUUUUGCAAAUGUGGUCAAAGAUUAUUUGACAAUCUCCUUAUUCUGGUCAAUGAAAAUAGGGUCAAGUUGACAUUCUCUACCCCUUCUCUAAUGGGGUAGUAAACUCCUCAACUCAUUAGAAAACCACCUUUAUUUUUUUAGUUAUCCUUUUCCUCCUACUCCCAAAGCAGAGAGAAAAAUCUCUAACAGUGGGCAUCCAUGGAAGUCACUUCUUUGAUCCCACUGUGACAUCAGCAAAACUGAAUCUCCCGCUGCAUCAUGCCCAACAAAUACUAUCAGGGCUCCUAGGCUUGCUCCUCCCAGCAUGCCCCCCACUCACAAAUAGGCAUUUCUCAGUCUUGUACCACAUGUUUGCUUUUAAACCAUAAGACUAAUACCUACCUCUCUAGUGAGACCCCUCUUUGUUCCCUAGAUAUGGGAAUGGUUUGUGAAUUUGGUUUAAAGCUACAUAAAGGAAAGAGCAAGAGAAGAGAAAAGGUAUUUUGCCUGAGGUCUUUAAGCUUGCGUGGAUCUCUCGCUCACUCUCCUCUCUCUCUCUCUCUCUCUCUUUUUUUUUUUCCUUUUCCUUCGCUUGACUGAC